rnacentral:lncRNA from 1 species
CGACAGUUACAAGGUCCUUAAUCCUAUUGAUAGAGAGUAGUAACAGAAGGGGCGACGGCAACCCUUAAUUACCUUAAACAAAGGAUGGCUAUUAACAUCCCUGUCCAAGGCCUAAACAUCGGGUUUCAUUGUGGUAUCACAAUCAGAUUCUGGAGGGUGCAUGAAGUGAGCAUUAACCUAACAUUUAAACUCCCAUCCUUUGUGACAUCUGAACUAACUUCACCGAGCGCUUCGGCAUCAAUCUGUGUCUGCAUUUGCUUCAUGGCCUCGGUGAGGACCCACCCACGGUGGAUUUUCGUUUGCAAAUUCUGAUCGAAAGUGACAACAAACUUGCAGGCUACUCCAAAUUUUUACCCAAUUCACGUACAAAAAGGGAGCAGCCGGCACCUUGGAUUGCUCAGCAAAUGUAAAACUAGGCGGCUAAGGAACAAAACUUGGGAAUCUCUC